rnacentral:rRNA from 1 species
CCUACGGAUGGCAGCAGUGGGGAAUAUUGGGCAAUGGAGGCAACUCUGACCCAGCAACGCCGCGUGAGCGAUGAAGGUCUUCGGAUUGUAAAGCUCUUUAAGCGGGGACGAAGAAAGUGACUGUACCCGCAGAAUAAGCCUCGGCUAACUACGGGCCAGCAGCCGCGGCAAUACGUAGGAGGCAAGCGUUAUCCGGAGUGACUGGGCGUAAAGGGUGCGUAGGUGGUUUGACAAGUUGGUAGCGUAAUCCCGGGGCUCAACCUCGGUGCUGCUACCAAAACUGUUGAACUUGAGUGGCGGAGAGGUGAGUGGAAUUCCCAGUGUAGCGGGGGAAUGCGUAGAUAUUGGGAAGAACACCAGCGGCGAAGGCG